CGGAGGCUCCGUCCCCAGACAGCUUGAGGCCCCGCCUCCAAGGGGCUCGAGUCCUCACUGGACCAAGCGACACAGAACUGGGUGCGUCCCCAGCACAGCAGGUCCGGGACCCCUCACGCCAGCCACAUCUCGGGCCAGGCCUCGCGGAACUCUCACUGGCAAUAAAAAGCAGCCAUACGUUCUCUCCUAUGUUUGUUGGAAGCAACAAACAGCCCGGCCCAGCCAGCUUGGGCAACCAGGCCUCACUCCACAAGGCGGGGCGCAGGUCAGGGGACACUGUCGAGGAUGUUUCCAAAGCCCGGCAGGUCAGGGCCUGGCACACAGAUCCCCUUCAGGGGCCAGUCUGGUAACAUAGACAUGUGAAACGGGUGGAGUUGAAACCACAGGCGCCAAAUGGCCGCUACUGCCACAGGCAGUGACACCUGUCCAGUUUCGGGGCUUUUUAAAGCCCUCUGUGGCUGAGGCAACGCGUCAGAGAGACCCACGUGGCUGAAAGCUUGUUGGUUUCACAGAGGGCGCCUCCCACUUCAUGGCCUUUGCCCAUGCUGUCCCCUCAGCCUGUGAUGUUCUUCUUGCAAAACCAUUCUUAGUUCCUAAUCCCUGCAAAAACACUUGGCCAACAAGAUCUGGGCCGUGAGCUGCGUGUGCAGAACCCUGUCGGCCCCAUUAGCUAACUCCUUCUCUGACUUCAAGUCUCAGAGAAUUCUUCCCCAACACAGGCACCCCGCACCUCCCUUGUCACAGGGCAAUUUCACAUUUGUUUGCUUACUUGAUCAGUGUCUGUCUACCCUUGUAUUCCUUUCCCAGGGCUACAGUAACAAAUUAUCAUAAAGCUUAAAACCACAGAAUGUAUUGUCUCACAGUUGCGGGGAACAGAAGUCCAAAACCAAGGUGUUGGCAGGGUUGGCUCCUUCUGGAGGUUCCCAGGGAGAAUCAGAUCCAUGCCCAUCUCCUGGCUGAUGGUGACUCCUUGGCUGGUGGCAGCAUCACUGCAAUCUCUGCCUUUCUCAUCACACAGCACUCUCCCUGUAUGCAUCUGUGUGCCAGGGUCCCUCUUCGUAUAAGAACCCCAGUCGUGCCAUAUAGAGGGCCCAUCCUAAAACAGUAUGACUUCAUCUUAUCUUGACAACAUCUGCAAAGACUCCAUUUCCAAAUAAGGUCAUAUUUGCAGGUUCCAGGUGGAUGUGAAUUUUCAGAGGACACUGUGCAACCCAGGAGAGCCCCCAAGUGUGGGGGGUCCACUUACACUGUGCCUGGAAGGUGGGGACCCCCUUGCUGAAACCCUUCACUCACUUGCCACCAGUACCCUGGCCUGAUCUCUGCUGGGGUGAGAGGGUGACUGUGAACAAGACGGGGAGGAGAGAUGGUCCAGGAGUGCACUGGCCAGGGCGGGAGCUGGUGGUGAGGGCACAGUGGGUACUUGAUGUCUCAGUCUGUGUGGCCUCCUUUCCUCCUCUGCUUGAUGACAGGGCCCAGAGUUUUCUCUGAAGCUUUGCUCCUCCCCAACUCUUGGUUCACGGGGUUUGGGUAGAGAUGAUGCCAUUCCUAGGUCUGGAGAUGGCCGUGUGUCCCAGGCCUGGCCAAUCAAACAAUGCUUCUACCUGACACAGUGACCGGUUCAGGACUGGACAGAUGACCCAGUCAUUGCCAACGAAGUCUCGUUCUGUUGCCCAGACUGGAGUACAAUGACGUGAUCUCGUCUCACUGCAACUUCCGCCUGCCAGGUUCAAGUGAUUCUCCUGCCUCAGCCUUGCAAGUAGCUGGGAUUACAGGCACGUGCCACCACACCCAGCUAAUUUUCAUGGUUUUUUUUUUUGUUUUGUUUUGUUUUUUUUUAAGUAGAGACAGGGUUUCACUGUGUUGGCCAGGCUGGUCUCGAACUCCUGACCUCAAGUGAUCCACCCACCUCGGCCACCCAAAGUGCUGGGAUUACAGGUGUGAGCACCAAGCCCGGCCUCAACUUGGGCUUCUGAUGGAACUUAUCCUUAAGUAGCUGAGCCCGUGGCUAUAAGCCUCUUGUCCUGGGCAGCCACCUUGCCACUAUGAGGAGGGAACCAGUGCUUGAAUGAAACCCCUGCAGAGAAAACUGAAACCAACAGCCAGGAGAGGGACUCCCGAUGCCACAUGUGAGUGCCUGGAUCCAGCCAUUCCUGA
rnacentral:lncRNA from 1 species